UUGAACAAGGAGGGAGAGAAAAGCAAGACACGUGUCUUUCCAAUAGGACUGGUUGGCACAGGCUGGGGGUUGGUUAAGUGUGGGUAGCAGUGGCUGCAGCAGGCUGUUCUGCCAGGAUCACUGCUCACCGGACUCCUUGUGGUCCAUUGCCGCUUCACAAAACAGCAGUAGUUGAGGUGCCUUUGCCUAACACCAGCACAACACAACAUAAAGUAUUUUCUCCCUAACCUUUAAGGAAAAGAUUUCAGAUCUCUGGCUGAGUUGCACGUGAGGUAUCCCGUGCUCCCUGUCUGAUGCUGCUAUAUUAACUACUGCCUCAUCUGUGCAGAAAAUCAAGGACUUGUGCCCCUGGAAUCCACGUUCAGCUCUGGAUGUGAUGACGUCAUCUAUAAUCCCAGCAUUCCUUGGGGAGUCGGGAGGCACAGACAGGAGAGGAGCCUGGCACCUUGCGGGUUAGCUAGUGCGGAGCACAAGCUGCAGCUGUAGAAAUCUCUCUGCCUCAGCAAGCUGGAAGGUGUUUAUACCUUCAACUUAUGAAAAUGGAUGAAUUUUAGAGAGCCUGGAAAUACAUGAAAACAAGAUAACACUUUGUAAACUGGAUAGUGACUCCUUGGAAGAUGUCCACAUCUGAAUCCCAGAACUUGUAAAUGUGCUAUUUUGAUUGGUAAAACAGACCUUUGUGAAUGUGAUUGAAUCAGUGAGCAUGAGAUGAGGAGAUCAUUCUGGACUGUCAUUAUGGACCACCCUUAUCUCGAGCAUCCUCCUAAGAGGGAGACAAGAGGACCACCAUCAGCCACAAGCAUCCUCCUAAGAGGGAGACAAGAGGACCACCAUCAGCCACAAGCAUCCUCCUAAGAGGGAGACUAGAGGACCACCAUCAGCCACAAGCAUCCUCCUAAGAGGGAGGCAAGAGGACCACUGUCAGUAGCAAGAGCUGUGAUAGCAGAGAGAGAGAGCAGAAUGAUCCCUGGAAGAGAUCAUUGACAGAGGGAUGUGGAUAGUCUCCAGAAUGAGAAAAGACAGAGGCAGGUGUCCCCCUUGGUGCCUGCAGAAGAAUCUAGUCCAGCUAACGCCUGAGUAUUAAUUAGUUCAUGAAACUAACUUUUAACAUCUGACCACCAAAUUGUAGGAGAAUAAAGUGUAUUGCUAUGAAUUUGUGGUUAUAAUUUAUGAGCACGGUGGGGAACCAAAGCAAUGGUAAAUUACGAGACAGGAGAUACAGUAGAUUCCAAGGAGGAAACGCAGCUGCCGUUAUGUUAUUGGAGCCCUGGAGAAAGAAAAAAAGAUAAUUCUAAGAAGAGAGGAAUGCCGAGACAACCAAGCAGAAGACAAUUCUAAAUACCCUGUUGUCAUCCAAGAGAAUUUGAUUAUGCAAUAUUUUAGUGAACGGUGCACUCCACGUGGGCUUCUUCUAUUUCUAUUUUUUUCUUUUCUUAUACUCUCCUUUCGGUCAAAGGUCAUUGUUAGUUUUUUAUAUUGCUACCAAUAUGCCCCAGAAACUGACUCUUGAGAUGAUGUCCAUGAACAUCUGAAAAUCUGAAUUCAGCCAUAGCGUAGACGACUUUUUCCACAGAUGAUUGAGCUGUCUACAUCACUUACUUGAGAAUUGCUGGGAUUAUAAAACCCGACAGAAGGAACUUAACUGUGGAAGUCUUUUUUUUUUUUCUCCAAGUUUCGGAAGUGUUAGCAGAUCAUGACUAGGAAAACAUGGAUUUAUUUGUGGAAGCAGGAGUAUGUGGCAGAGGAUCCUUACAUCAUGGUGGAUCACGAAGCAGAGGAGUGGGAUGAGAUGCUAAGUGCCUGGUACAGUCCUCCUCCUGCUCUUCUUCUUCCUCCUCCUCCUCUUCCUCCUUCUCCUUCUCC
rnacentral:lncRNA from 1 species